AAGUACUGUGAAGGAAAGAUGAAAAGCACUUUGAAAAGAGAGUGAAACAGCACGUGAAAUUGUUGAAAGGGAAGGGUAUUGGGCCCGACAUGGGGAUUGCGCAUCUCUGCUCCUUGUGGGCGGGGCGCUGUGCUUUUCCUGGGCCAGCAUCGGUUUUUGCCGCAGGAGAAGGGGUACUGGAAUGUGGCUCCUCGGAGUGUUAUAGCCAGUGCCAGAUGCUGCGUGCGGGGACCGAGGGCUGCGACAUCUGUCUCGGAUGCUGGCACAACGGCGCAAUACCGCCCGUCUUGAAACAUGGACCAAGGAGUCUAACGUCUAUGCGAGUGUUUGGGUGUGAAACCCGUACGCGUAAUGAAAGUGAACGUAGGUCGGACCCUUCGGGGGCACGAUCGACCGAUCCUGAUGUUUAUCGGAUGGAUUUGAGUAAGAGCAUAGCUGUUGGGACCCGAAAGAUGGUGAACUAUGCCUGAAUAGGGUGAAGCCAGAGGAAACUCUGGUGGAGGCUCGUAGCGGUUCUGACGUGCAAAUCGAUCGUCGAAUUU
rnacentral:rRNA from 1 species